rnacentral:rRNA from 1 species
AUUGAACGCUGGCGGCAUGCCUUACACAUGCAAGUCGAACGGUAACGCGGGGCAACCUGGCGACGAGUGGCGAACGGGUGAGUAAUACAUCGGAACGUGCCCAGUAGUGGGGGAUAGCCCGGCGAAAGCCGGAUUAAUACCGCAUACGACCUACGGGUGAAAGCGGGGGAUCGCAAGACCUUGCGCCAUUGGAGCGGCCGAUGUCAGAUUAGGUUGUUGGUGGGGUAAAGGCCUACCAAGCCGACGAUCUGUAGCUGGUCUGAGAGGACGACCAGCCACACUGGGACUGAGACACGGCCCAGACUCCUACGGGAGGCAGCAGUGGGGAAUUUUUGGACAAUGGGCGCAAGCCUGAUCCAGCCAUGCCGCGUGCGGGAAGAA